rnacentral:rRNA from 1 species
UGAGGAAUAUUGGUCAAUGGACGCAAGUCUGAACCAGCCAAGUAGCGUGCAGGAUGACGGCCCUAUGGGUUGUAAACUGCUUUUAUAUGGGGAUAAAGUGGGGAACGUGUUCCCUUUUGCAGGUACCAUAUGAAUAAGGACCGGCUAAUUCCGUGCCAGCAGCCGCGGUAAUACGGAAGGUUCGGGCGUUAUCCUGAUUUAUUGGGUUUAAAGGGAGCGUAGGCCGUUUGGUAAGCGUGUUGUGAAAUGUAGGAGCUCAACUUCUAGAUUGCAGCGCGAACUGUCAGACUUGAGUGCGCACAACGUAGGCGGAAUUCAUGGUGUAGCGGUGAAAUGCUUAGAUAUCAUGAAGAACUCCGAUUGCGAAGGCAGCUUACGGGAGCGCAACUGACGCUGAAGCUCGAAGGUGCGGGUAUCGAACAGG